rnacentral:rRNA from 1 species
UACGGGGGGGGCAAGCGUUGUUCGGAAUUACUGGGCGUAAAGGGCUCGUAGGCGGCCAACUAAGUCAGACGUGAAAUCCCUCGGCUUAACCGGGGAACUGCGUCUGAUACUGGAUGGCUAGAGGUUGGGAGAGGGAUGCGGAAUUCCAGGUGUAGCGGUGAAAUGCGUAGAUAUCUGGAGGAACACCGGUGGCGAAGGCGGCAUCCUGGACCGAUAUUGACGCUGAGGCGCGAAAGCCAGGGGAGCAAACGGG